rnacentral:rRNA from 1 species
CCCUUAGAUGUUCUGGGCCGCACGCGCGCUACACUGAAGGGAUCAGCGUGUUUUCCCUUCCCGAGAGGGACGGGUAACCCGCUGAACCCCCUUCGUGGUAGGGAUCGGAGCUUGCAAUUGUUCUCCGUGAACCAGGAAUUCCCAGUAAGCGCAAGUCAUAAGCUUGCGUUGAUUACGUCCCUGCCCUUUGUACACACCGCCCGUCGCUACUACCGAUUGAACGUUUUAGUGAGGUAUUUGGACUGGGCCUUGGGAGGUUUCGGCCUCCCUUGUUGCUUGGAAAGACUCCCAAACUUGAGCGUUUAGAGGAAGUAAAAGUCGUAACA